CUAUACUGCAAGUCGAGCGAACAGACGAGGAGCUUGCUCCUCUGACGUUAGCGGCGGACGGGUGAGUAACACGUGGAUAACCUACCUAUAAGACUGGGAUAACUUCGGGAAACCGGAGCUAAUACCGGAUAACAUGUUGAACCGCAUGGUUCAACAGUGAAAGACGGUCUUGCUGUCACUUAUAGAUGGAUCCGCGCCGCAUUAGCUAGUUGGUAAGGUAACGGCUUACCAAGGCAACGAUGCGUAGCCGACCUGAGAGGGUGAUCGGCCACACUGGAACUGAGACACGGUCCAGACUCCUACGGGAGGCAGCAGUAGGGAAUCUUCCGCAAUGGGCGAAAGCCUGACGGAGCAACGCCGCGUGAGUGAAGAAGGUCUUCGGAUCGUAAAACUCUGUUAUUAGGGAAGAACAAAUGUGUAAGUAACUAUGCACGUCUUGACGGUACCUAAUCAGAAAGCCACGGCUAACUACGUGCCAGCAGCCGCGGUAAUACGUAGGUGGCAAGCGUUAUCCGGAAUUAUUGGGCGUAAAGCGCGCGUAGGCGGUUUUUUAAGUCUGAUGUGAAAGCCCACGGCUCAACCGUGGAGGGUCAUUGGAAACUGGAAAACUUGAGUGCAGAAGAGGAAAGUGGAAUUCCAUGUGUAGCGGUGAAAUGCGCAGAGAUAUGGAGGAACACCAGUGGCGAAGGCGACUUUCUGGUCUGUAACUGACGCUGAUGUGCGAAAGCGUGGGGAUCAAACAGGAUUAGAAACCGCAGGGUAGUCCAAA
rnacentral:rRNA from 1 species